UGGGUUGAAAAGACCAGCACCUAGCUUGGCUGAGGACGGCUGUGGACAGGACAGCAUGGACAGGCUGUGCUCUACCCUCCUGCUGCUCACUCUCCCUUCCUGGGCCCUGUCCCAGAUCGCCCUGAAGGAGUCUGGACCUGGGCUGCUGCCACCCUCCCAGACCCUCAGCCUCACCUGCUCCAUCUCAGGAUUCUCUCUGAGCACUACUGGUGUGGCUGUGAGUUGGAUCCGGCAGCCCCCAGGGAAGACCCUGGAGUGGCUGGCAAAUGUGUGGUGGGAUGAUGGUAAGUCCUACAACCCAGCCCUGAAGAGCCGGCUCUCCAUCUCCAAGGACAGCUCCAACAGCCAGGUGUUCCUCACACUGGACAGCGUGGACUCUGCAGACACAGCCACCUAUUACUGUGCUAGAAACCACAGAGGCACAGCCACAGGGGCCUCCUGCACAAGAUCUCAGGCUGGGCCUCAGCUCUGUGCUGGCCCCGAGCAUCAGGAAGUCUGCAAGAACACGGAGCAUUUCUGGGGUGUCAUCCCUGAUUGGGGUGUCUGCUGUGGGACCAUUGUCAAAGCAGAGCGAAGGUCGUACACCACGCACAGGUUCCAUUCUUUGACAGCUCCCAAGGAGCUGCAGGUACAGUGUGAACCACAGCGCAUGGUCAGUGCGUCAUGA